GUCCACGCUGUAAACGAUGAGUACUAGGUGUCGGAGGUUACCCCUUCGGUGCCGCAGCUAACGCAUUAAGUACUCCGCCUGGGGAGUACGUUCGCAAGAAUGAAACUCAAAGGAAUUGACGGGACCCGCACAAGCGGUGGAGCAUGUGGUUUAAUUCGAAGCAACGCGAAGAACCUUACCAAGUCUUGACAUCCCUCUGACGGACUCUUAACCGAGUCUUUCCUUCGGGACAGAGGAGACAGGUGGUGCAUGGUUGUCGU
rnacentral:rRNA from 1 species